UCCAGGAGAACCACCUGACGGACAUGUCUCCUACCGAAAUGUCGCUCCCCACCAUAAUCCAUAAUUCUCAUUGAAAUAAACAGGCACGCCACCUCUCAUUCAAUCGCACCUGUCGGUCCCUACCAUGACUGUCUUGGCGCAAUUAACUGAAUCGCAGUUGUUGUGUAAAAACGAAACCAAAACAAAACCCUGUCCUUGGUUUCGUUUUAAAAUAAUAGAUACACUGGCUGCGUAGAGACGCAGGCUACGACAACAGACAUUGCUGAUGGAGUCUGACCAUGGAUGAGGAGGCUGAACCUGACAACCUUAAUGUGAACUCCGUCUUGGCUCAGGAAUCCUCAGAAAUGCUCCAAGUCCUAAGCAGUCAGUCACCCGCAAUCCUAACAAAGUUGUGCCAAAUAAUGCCCGGUGAUGCUCGUCGGAACAUCAAAAUGGACCCUAGUGGCUGUUCUUCAUCAGCAGUAACCAAACAUAUCAAAGCCAUGUUGGAGUACUUGAGGGUGGCCAACCAUGCAGAUUGCUGCAACUUCCUUCAGAGCAUGUGUAUCUUAUGUGAGGGCAUCCCCAUGCGCCUGGAGACGAGGCUUAUGUCAGUGGCUGGAUAUGCAAAUAAUGUUUCCGAAAAUUCCAGUCCCCAUGGAACGGAUGGGAAGUCAUCAGCGCCUUCAGAGCAGCAGCUCAUCAAACGUCCACGGAUUGACCACUGGGAGAAGUACAUUGCUGCAGUUAUGAGUUUACUGCGGAGGAGGUGGGAGCAACUCAGUGAGCACCUGGUAAGGGAGGUCCAGCCUGAGAAUGUGUGGGUCAGACUAAGAACAGCGAACAGAGGCAGGGACAGACCUGAUCAGACUCCUGGAUCGUCAGACAAAGGGGGCAGAACACAAGAGCCUGAUGGGGAUUAUGGGUACAUGGAUUCCAAAGUAACAUUGGAGACCUUCCUCCAGGGAUGUGCAGGGAAGGUGACAGUUCUCGUUGGCCAGGCCGGAUCUGGAAAAACUCUGCUGAUGUCUUGUUUAGGACAGCAGUGGGCACAUGGACUAGGCCCUAUCCCUUCAUCUUACCUGUUUGUCCUGCAAGAGUUUCGUCAGCUCAACAUACUAUCCCACCCUCUUUCCCUGUCUGAGCUGCUAUUCCGACACUACCUCCCGCUGGAAGGGGGCAACGAUGAAAAGAGAGCCAUUGUGGAUUACCUACUUUCCAAUCCAGAGCAAAGCUGUUGGGUGCUGGAUGGCUAUGAAGAGUUUUCCAGCAAACUCACCAGACAAGAGGUGCAGAGAGAGCUUUUGGACCCAGAACAGCCUCUGCCUGUUGCAGACCUCAUCUCAGGGCUGUUAAAUCGCCAUCUUCUUCCAGGAUGUACUGUGGUGGUCACCUGUUGUGCACGCGAUGUCAUGGAUUUUGAAGGCAUAUCGGAUAAAGUUGGGCAGUUGCAAGGGUGGGACUUCCACGAGAUCAAGGAGUAUGUGGGCAACUUCUUUCAAAUUAAAGGUCACUCAGCAAACAGAGCUAUUGGGGUGCAGGCUGCAGAUCUCCUUCUUACCAGUCGACACCUACUCGCCAUGUCAUCCCUCCCUGCACUCUGCAACAUAUGCUGCAUCUGUCUGGAGAAUUUACUGCUGAAAGGGGAAGACCAAAGAAGGACGCAGACACCGGAUGAAACAGGAAGUGAAAGAAGGAGAAAAGAAAAAGAAAAAGAAGAAAAAGUAGUACAUGCAGAAGGAGGAAGAAGAGAAGAGGGCAGUAUAGGAGGGAGUUAUGCACAAAGCAGAGAUCAACGGGGAGUGAAAACGAGGGGUGAAGACACAAUGAUGGACGACACAAAUGGUAGAGGCCAGAUACCCUCCACCCUCACCCAGGUCUACCUCACUAUUCUUGGUGCCUUCCUGAACCGUGACCCUAAUACAAAAGGAGGCACUGACGAGGCAAAAACCACACCACAAAGUUUUGUGUGUGAGCUGAGUCAGCUGGCCUGGAAAGGCUUAGAGGAAAGCAAGAUCCUCUUCAUGGAAGAAGACAUCUCUCAGGAUGUUUUGGAGUUUUCAGUCAGGACAGGGCUCCUCGCACAGGUGGAGCUCAGACGUGAGGAUGGGAUUCCUGUCAACUCCUACCGCUUCGUUCAUCUGACAAUACAGGAGUUUUUGGCUGCACUCAGAAUGAUGACCAGUGCUGAUGUUAGUGACAUGCAGCUCAAGAAGAGAUUCAGUCUGAGAACUCGCUGGACGACCAAGUCAGACCAGAGGACGAUCUUUACUGACUCCCUUCACCUGUAUGUAUGUGGUCUGGCUUCCCCCCACUGCACUGCAGCCUUGGUUCAAUUAGCCAGUACCUCUGGUGGAACAGGAGGCCAAAGUUGGGUCCAAAAACGACAAACCCUCGUUCUGAAACUACUAAAAAACCUGUGUCACAGCAAUACCCUAACUGGACCAAAGAUAUUGGAUCUAUGCCACUGUGUCCAGGAGAGCCAGGACAACCAACUAGCUAAGCUGGUUGUGGGUACGAGACCCACCCUGGAGCUGCGCAACAUCACGCUAUUACCGAAUGAUAUUGAUGCUCUGGCUUUUGUAGUUAACUCAGUAGGUGAUAAUGGCAUCGGAUUGGACUUCAGAGCAUGCUCAAUGGAGUUGGAGUGUUUAGAUGUCCUGCCCAGUUGUCAGUUCAUUCACUACCUCAGUUUUCGCAGCCGCAAGUAUGGCGACAAGUUUGCUGAGAAGUUGUCCUCCAUUCUGCCAAAAUUCACAACGCUGAAAAAACUAGAGUUUUGUGGCGCCAGUCUGACUACCACAGGAGCAGCUAGUUUGGCCUCCGCUCUACAGAACUGUCCAAACAUCACAGAAAUCAAUCUGAAUGACAACAAUCUCAAAGACGUCGGAAUCAAACACAUAGCUGAUCUUUUUGCCAAACCGUCAAGACUGGUCCUGGUAAGGCUGGGUCAAAACAGCAGCUCUCUGGAAGCAGUGGACUAUCUCAUUGGGAAAAUGUCUUCAUGCUUGAAAAUCCAGCACCUUCAUGCAGAUGGGAAGAAGGAAUUGACCAUAACUUUCUUCCAAAAUUCCGAUUUAAACCACCAUAUAACUAAAUCUGAACCAACAAUCAGCUUGUUGAACCAGACAUGGAGCAAGCCUAAGAUGCAAAAAGUUGCAAAGUCCCUGGCACGUUGCCCUGCCUUGUCGGUCCUGGACAUGUCUGGAGGCCAUUUAGAUGUUGAAACUCUGAGGACACUGACUGACUUUUUGCCAAAGUUCAACGUCACCAAAAAGAUCAUUGUGAAUGACAGCUUGUCUUCAGUGGAGGGUUUGAUGAUUCUGACGGCUCUGCUGUCUAAGUGUCCUGCUGUGGUGGAGCUUCAUAUCAGACUACAGAGUCCUUUCCAGGUGUCGAUAUUGUUUCCUGGAGGCAGAGAAAAACCUGCAAAUGAAACAUCUAAAGUGCUGUGUCUCAGCUGCAGUUGUCUGCUGCCUUCUCAUCUGGACAGAGUGUGGAGGAGUUUGGGAGCCUCUUCUGAUCUCACUUUGCUGGAUCUGUCCAAUAACUGUUUAGGCAACAAAGGUCUGAAGAAAGUGUUGGACUACCUGCCUUGUCUAAGUAACAUCCAGGAAGUAAAUGUCAGUAGCAAUGGGAUUGGCAUGGAAGGAGUGGUAAUGCUGGCUGGUGCAUUGUCCUCCCAUGACAACUUAACACAAAUUCACAUCAGUCAUGGAGACAGAGACCAGUUGAUUCUAAAGUUCGGCCCUCACAAAAGGGAUGACCAACAGCAGCUAAAGAUGUUCAGGAUAAACAACAGCAGCCUUAUGCCAUCAGACACAAACCGAAUCUGUGGACGAUUGGUCCUGUGUAGCUCCCAUUUUGAGUUAGAUUUGUCUCACAGCUCAUUGCCAGACAAGGCUAUUGAGAAUCUGGUCAAUAUUCUGCCAAAGAUGGGAUCACUGCAGAGACUCAAUGUCAGCCACAGCAUCACAUCCACAGCUGGAGCCUUGAUGAUGGUCAGAUGUUUGAAUGUCAGUCAGCAAGUCACAUCAGUGGAGAUCGCGCCUCAGAUUGAAUCAUUCAUUCAUUUUGCCAGUGUGAAAGCCGAACAAGCCAGCUGCAGGUUAACUCAUUGUAACCUGAACGGUGAAAACUUGCAAAGGCUGCUCGAGAUCCUACAGCAGGGUCCCCAACUGUCUGACCUGGAUUUAUCAAGCAACAAACUGGAAGAUGAAGGCGUUAAGUGUUUUCUGGAUUAUCUACAAAAGCUCAAAAUCACCAGCUAUGUGAAUUUGAGCAACAACGGGCUGAGCCAGCAGGGGCUGUUGGAUGUGGCCAGCGCACUGUGCACCUGUAACAGCGUCUCCGGUGUCGAAGUCAGUUUGGGAGCAGAGGAGAGAUGUCUCAUCUGGUUUACACAAUUUGAAGGUUGUGUAAAAACGCUGAGUGUCCGAGAGAGUAAUUUGGAACAUGACUAUCUGGUCAGAUUAGCAGAGAUCGUGUCUACCUGUCCCAGUCUGACCAAACUGGAAUUCAAGAACAAUUUGCUGCAGUCGGAUUGCAUUGAAGACUUGGUGAAACUGUUGAACAGCAGUCAGAGGGGAUUCAGCGUCAGUAUUGAGGAACGUUGGAUCAGAUCUGAGGAAGCUGUUAGUUUGGUGUGUCGUUGUCUGGAGCUCAGCAGCAACAUACACACUAUCAGGGUUCACCACAACACUUUACACCUGUCUUUGAUGAAGUCCACUGAACUGACCUCAGUCAGCCUCUUGGACUGUGCAGUCAAGGGGUACCAGCUUGCAUCUAUGACGAGCCUCAUCUCAAGGUGUUCUUCCCUGACAAAGCUGGACUUCUCCCACAACAGCCUGGGUGUAGAGGGAGUUGAGUUUCUCUGUUCUGUCCUGCCCUUGCUGCCAAAUCUCACUUGUCUCAGUAUUGGUUCCAAAGAGGCUUGUGUGACGGUGGUUGAGAAGCUCUCAGAUGCCUUGCUGCGGGUUGCAGGCAUUAAGUGCUUAAACCUAUCAGGUCAUGUGAUUAGUGACACAGCAGCCCAAAUUAUGACCAAAAUGUGCCCCCGUCUAAAAUCACUCAAUCUGUCUCAUUGUAGGUGGUCAGCUGCUGCAGGGCUGCAGCUCGUCACAGCACUUCAACUAUGUGUCAGUCUGGAAGGUCUUUGUCUGGACUCCCUACAGCUGAAUGCAGAGAGCAGUGUGUGCCUGGGACAAGCACUAAGGAAUAUCAAAAAUAUACGCAGUCUCAAGCUAAAUAAGAUUGUCACAGUGAUGGGUCCGUCACAAGCAAACGGUUUGCUAGAUCUCCUAGCUGCUAUGGAGGGACUCACACGAAUGGAGGAGAUCGAGCUGGAGAGCUGGAGGCUGGCCGAUAGAGGACUAGAGCAGCUGACCAGACUCCUUCCUAUGUGGACUGAACUCAGGAAGAUCAGUCUAUCAAAAAACCUAAUCAGCGACCAAUCUGGAGAAAAGCUACUUGAGGCUUUGAAGAGCUGUAGUCACCUGGAAGAGCUGCAUCUGUCCAGUAACAGUCUCGGGGAUCUCACUGCUGCCAGGAUGGCCCAGGUUCUACCUUCACUGACGCACAUCACUGUGUUGGAUAUUUCAGAGAACAGGAUUGGAUAUGAAGGGUCGGUGAGUCUGUCCAAAGCAAUAAUGUGCAUGAAGAACCUCAUCAAGAUUCAUCUGACCUCUAUUGGGACUCCAGAGCUGUGUGCUGUAGCUUCCAGUUUGGCCCACUGUCCCCUCCUACAGGAUGUGGGUCUGGGAUGGAAUAAUUGUGACGAUGAAGUGGCAGUGGAGCUGGCCAGAGUUAUGCCUCUCUGUCCGAAGCUGAAAAGAAUAGAUCUGGAGUCAAACACUGUGAGUGUUUUUGGAGCGGAGGCCCUGGUUAGAGCCUUACAGUCCUGUCCUGCUCUGCAGCUCAUCAGGCUGUGGAGGAACAAAGUCUCCCUCAGUGAGGCGCAGAGGCUCAGUCUGAGGGACAGGAGGCUGAAUUUCUCAUCCAUCUAAUGUGAUCCGUAUUGUUGGACGAUGUAAGCGCCAGGGCAAAGUAACAUUCAAGUUCAUCAGAAUCAUCAGAGGUCAACCACUGCUACAGCCAGUGUUGGAAAUCAAGGAGAGCAAAGGAAAAGUGUCCCAAGUAAUCUGAGAAUACCCUCUCCCUGUUUUUUUAAAGUCUCCCCAAAUUUUUUAGAGAUAAGUAUCUCCAUUUAUCAACAAGAGCCUCUCUAGGGAACAAUGUGAAUAAAAAAUACUAAGCCAACACAAACAGAGUUAAGGGAAAACCUCCUCGCUAAAUGGAAGGAGAAGGGUAUUAUAUGUCAGCUACUGAGAAACAACCACAGUGUGUAUUGUAAAGUUAUUAUAUGAAUGAUAUAGACAUAUUACAUAAAUAUAUUGCAUUUAGGCCUAUAUAAAGAAAUCUCCUGCUUCCUUUUUACCUGGCUCAAAGGCUGGAUUAACACAGGCCUUUUUGGUGUAACAAAGAAAUCUGUGACCCAUUACAAUGUUAAAACACUACUGUGUUUGUCCAAAGCGGCAAAGGUAAAUAUGAUUUAUGUGACGGGGGACUGAUGGAUCGUAGUACUUAAUACUGUCACUAUUGGCUCUGCUAUCCCACACUGCCAUGAACCUAGAGGUAAAACAUUAUUUGCUGUCCAGUAAGUUUCAUGUGAGAAAAUACUUACUAUAUUUAACGCUGAUACACUGAGUCACUUUGCACUGUAAUGUGUUUACAAUGAUUAGAGGCCACAUUAGUGAAAACACAAUAACUCAUCAACUAACAGGAAGAAUGGUCAUUACAGGUUGUGGUCUCUAUCUAGUUUGCAUAUUGAUUUCUGCUGUUUUCAUGGAAAGCUUACCCAAGUUGUUUGUUUACACAAGGGAAUUAUGGCUUAUACUAUUUCAACUGAACAAGAAUUGUGAAAACCAUAAACUUUGAGAAUAAUAGAUUCUAGUUUCUUGUUGUGCUGAUAAUGCUACAAUGAUGCUGUUAUUCUGACACACGAUGACCUUAUUUCCUUAUCCAUUCCUCUACGUGUUUCUUUUGAAUUCAUUAUUUAUGAUUUGCUUUAAAUUUAAACUAUUCAAAGAUUGUCUACAAAGACACUGGAUUUAAUGAGCAUACACCUGUGCCCUGUGGCACUGUAGCUCAUCUGUUAAGUGUUUUUUCUUUUUGAGGUUUUUGAUCAGGUUUGACUCCUCACAUGACAUUGCCUCUAUUUUUUUAUUUUUUCUUGCACUGUCUUGCACUAAGAUUUCAAUUGAGAUAUAAA